rnacentral:rRNA from 1 species
UGCCAGCAGCCGCGGUAAUUCCAGCUCCAGUAGCGUAUAUUAAAGUUGUUGCAGUUAAAAGCUCGUAGUUGGAUCUCAGGAUUUGGAUGGAUGGUUCGCUUUCGGGCGCUACUAUCUGUCUGACCUACUCUAGUCGUGGAUGCCUUGGGUGCUCUUAAUUGAGUGCUUUUGGUGCCCGACGCAAUUACUUUGAAAGAAUUAGAGUGCUCAAAGCAGGCGUAUUGCCUGAAUAGUGUUGCAUGGAAUAAUGAAAUAGGAGUUUACUUCUAUUUUGUUGGUUUUCGGAGGUGAACUAAUGAUUAACAGGGACAGACGGGGGCAUUUGUAUGGAGGGGUUAGAGGUGAAAUUCUUGGAUCCUCUCCAGACAAACUACUGCGAAAGCAUUUGCCAGGAAUGUUUUCACUAAUCAAGAACGAAAGUCAGAGGUUCGAAGACGAUCAGAUACCGUCCUAGUUCUGACCAUAAAUGAUGCCAUCUAACAAUCCACGAAGUUUGCUUGUACGAACUCGUGGGCGGUCCCCGGGAAACCAAAGAUUUUGGGUUCCGGGGGAAGUAUGGUUGCAAAGCUGAAACUUAAAGGAAUUGACGGAAGGGCACCACCAGGAGUGGAGCCUGCGGCUUAAUUUGACAACACGGGAAACCUCACCCGGCCCGGACACUUUUAGGAUUGACAGAUUGAAGGCUCUUUCUUGAUCAAGUGGUUGGUGGUGCAUGGCCGUUCUUAGUUGGUGGAGCGAUUUGUCUGGUUAAUUCCGAUAACGAACGAGACUCUACUCUGCUAAAUAGAACGUUGAUAUAUAAAAGUCAGUGCUGACUUCUUAGAGAGACUAACGGCGUUUAGCCGUGUGAGAAAGAGCAAUAACAGGUCUGUGAUGCCCUUAGAUGUCCGGGGCCGCACGCGCGCUACACUGACUGCAGCAACUAGUAUGCUCCUGGUUUGAAAAAACUGGGUAACCUGGUUGAAUUGCAGGCGUGACAGGGAUCAGAGUUUGCAAUUAUCCUCUGUGAACGAGGAAUUCCCAGUAAGCGCAAGUCAUUAGCUUGUGCUGAUUACGUCCCUGCCCUUUGUACACACCGCCCGUCGCUACUACCGAUUGAAUGGUUUAGUGAGGUCUUCGGAUUGGUGCUGAUGGAGUGGUUCUCUGCUCUGUUAGUGCCGAGAAGAUGAUCAAACUUGAUCAUUUAGAGGAAGUAAAAGUCGUAACAAGGU